ACAAUCAUAGACCACAACGAGGGUUGGUCGAAGGUCGACAGAGUCGCUCGGGAAAGAUUUUGGAUAAGAAAGUUACGGACAGUCUCCCCAGAGGGCAUAAAUGAAAAAACAUAGAAUGAGUCCCUCAUUUUCCUGUCUUCACUUAUUUCCAGUAACUCCGGCUUUACAGUUCGAAAUUCUUUUUAAAAUACCAGUUUAAAUUACAGGGCUUCAUUCAUUCGGGA
rnacentral:lncRNA from 1 species